rnacentral:rRNA from 1 species
GACGUAGGGGGCCAGCGUUGCUCGGAAUUACUGGGUGUAAAGGGUUCGUAGGCGGUGUGGCAAGUCGGGAGUGAAAUCUCUGGGCUCAACCCAGAGUCUGCUUCCGAAACUGCUGUGCUUGAGUGUGGGAGAGGCGCGUGGAAUUGCAGGUGUAGCGGUGAAAUGCGUAGAUAUCAGGAGGAACACCGGUGGCGAAGGCGGCUAUCUGGACAGAAACUGACGCUGAGGCGCGAAAGCUAGGGGAGCAAACAGG